AAGGCGUAACGAUUUGGGCACUGUCUCAACAACAGACUCGGUGAAAUUGUAAUUCCGGUGAAGAUGCCGGAUACCUGCGACAGGACGGAAAGACCCCAUGGAGCGUUACUGUAGCUUGACAUUGGGUUUUGGUACUACAUGUACAGGAUAGGUGGGAGGCUUUGAAACCAGGACGCCAGUUUUGGCGGAGCCAUCCUUGGGAUACCACCCUUGUAGUACUGGGACUCUAACC
rnacentral:rRNA from 1 species